UUUUCCUUUCUAUUUCCCUAAAUGUUUCCCCUGCGCCGCUUCUCUCAACCCUCUCCCUCUCUUGGCUCGACCGAGAGCCACAAAGGCCUCACGACCUCACUGGUCACCGUAAAUCGGUAGCCACCCUUACUCCGGUCGCUGCCUAGCACGAUUGAAAAGCCCAAAAUACCACCGAAAUCGACCUAAAAGCCUUUACUUUCUCUCUAUCCUCUUCUCACGGCCGAACCUCCUCCAAGAGCUUGCCACCACCAUAAAUCAGUGUCUUUCGCCUCUCCGAACGCCACCAACGGUGGUCGAUUGAACUUGAAUCUAGCCCUAAAACAAAACCUAAGCCCUCUCCUUCCUCUUCUAACCCAAAACAGAGAAGAAAAGAAGCUAACACAACCCCCUUCUAAGCGAGCAGCCGGCGAGGCCUCGAUUCCUCAACUUACGAAGGACGACAGACCCCUUCUUGACGUCAAGACCUCAACUACUAUAGCUAAAGGUAUUGACAGAAGCAUGAGUGGACCACUAGUUUUGUGACUUGUUGGUGAGGCUGUCGUGGAGCAGGGGUCACGAGACCAGCGAUGUGUUUUCGUUGAGUGCCUGCUUGGACUACCAACGGGAGAGCGUGGUAUUGGAACGUGGCUUGUUGUGUGCUGCUCACGUGGGAAUAGAGGUGCUGGAAUGUUCACACAUGGGUGAGGGAUCACACGAGCUGCUGGGAGGACUUGGGAACACUGCUCGAUGGCCAUGGUUCAAGCUGAUGAGGCAUAAGAGAGCACAUGUUUUGUUGUGGAGCUACUGGCGUGUGCUGAGGCAUCAACGUUCUGCCAGGGUUAUUAACCCGGGAAAAAUUAGGUUAUUACAAGUUUGAACAGAAUUCUUCAUUAAAAUUUUCAAAGGACAAUAUAUUAGAAUUUGAAGCA